rnacentral:lncRNA from 10 species
UUUUUUGUAUUUUUAGCAGAGACGGGGUUUCACCCUGUUAGCCAGGAUGGUCUCAUCUCCUGACCUCGUGAUCCGCCCGCCUAGGCCUCCCAAAGUGCUGGGAUUACAGGCGUGAGCCACCGCGCCCGGCCUAAUAAAGGACAAUUUUUAAUAGCCACUGGACUAUUUAAGUGAUCUCUUCUGUCAGUUUCUUUUACCAUCAGAGGACACAGCAGCAAGGUGCCAUCCUAGAAGCAGAGAGCAGACCCUUACCAGACAACCAACCAGCUGGUGCCAUGAUCUUGGACUUCUCGGCCUCCAGAACUGAUGCAAUUGUCCAAUUAUUGGUGAAAUUGUCAUUUCAUGCUAUUGGCUAUUUGAAAUUCCUCCUCUAAUUUCAGAAUAAAUCACUGAAAUUGACAUCGGCCAGUCUGAAUUUCAAGAAAUUACCUGCUGAAGACAAGAGGGAUCUCUUCUUCAGAUUUGCAGUCUGGGGAAGACACAGCCUCUACUGUACUUUAGAACCUGAGAUAUGGUGGUGGAGGGAGCCCUGGGUCGAGUGGUAAGAUUCACCCUU